rnacentral:lncRNA from 1 species
GCAGCAUCCCGGGCCAUCACACAAGUUGCAGCCGCUCACAGAGUCGAGCUGCAGUUGCCUCAAGGAUUAUGUUGAAAUGAAGACAGAACGGCGAGUGGGGCUCGCUCAAGCUCUCUCCUCUAAUGCACUGCUGGGCAGCUGCCAGCAGUGCCUCAUGCUCUGUUGCGGUCCCAAAAUACUUCUGCCUGCAAGUGCAGAAGACAAUUAUGCAAAAUGCACAAGCUCCUUCCAAUGCACAGAAAGGGACACAAAGAAACCGAAGCACAGGUUCAGCAUUGCCUCGUUGCUCAAUCACUGCGGGACAAUUCUGACACAACCAAUCCUGAAGUGAUCACACAUGCCCCCGUUUCCACAAGCUGGCUUCUAAAUGACAAUAUGCAAGGUGCCGGCAUCAGGAGCAGUCAGUAAUACACCAAAUAGAUGGCUUUUCAAUAGUGGACUGCCCUAAAGAAUCAGAAAGCGCCCUAAUAAAUAAGCGUCAAGAGGCCUUGGUGUUCUUGCAACCCACCCACGGUCUUGCGGAGCACACCCAAAACACGGAUUUCUCGCUGCGUCAAAGCACAAUCACUGCCUGAUUUUGGCACUGAAGCGGCGGCCACACUCGAGCAAUAAGCCUUGCUGCCCUCCUUCUUGGAGACCUGCAUCGAUACUCAUUUUUCACCACCGAGUCCAAGCCAAACCGAUGCUGAUUUGUGAGGCCUGGGGUAAAGGGUACUCAAGAGACCCAAUUCUUACAGAUUUACAGGAGCCGUGCGCCAGUUUUCUGAGGGUAUGCUACGCUGAAGCCUGGUAAUUGACACUUGAUCCUCACCUUAGGAAACGAAAUUUAGUCGCGGCUAUCCAUGCCCCGUGCGAGGACGAGCCAUGAUUCACAAGUCGUGGGACUGCAAAAUUAUUCCCUGAAUCAUUCGAAAUUUUCU